UAUCACAACACCUAUUAGCUUUGAUGUGUGGUGGACAGUGGACUUGUAAUGAUGUUUCAGUUUCCGGCAGAAUCGAUGGCUUCACGGCGAAGGAUGAUAGAUGGAAAACUUUCGUCUCCUCAGGUUACAUGUGUAUUCGAUGCUAACACGUGUCUGAGAUAUAUUAGCUUGAUCCAAUCUUCUUCUCUAAAUGUAAUGUUGGGCCAGUUGGACUUAAAAUAGUCUCUGUAAACCGUUUUAUGUUGUUGGGCUUUUGCUCGUUCGUUGUAUGUUAUGUUCAUCUUAAUAAAAUCGUCACUUGUGA
rnacentral:sRNA from 1 species